rnacentral:tRNA from 1 species
GUAGAUAUAGUUUACAAAAAAACAUUAGAUUGUGAAUCUGAUAACAGGAAAUUGAUCCUCCUUAUCUACC